AAUAUUGCACAAUGGAGGGAACUCUGAUGCAGCAACGCCGCGUGAGUGAAGAAGGUUUUCGGAUCGUAAAACUCUGUCAUUGGGGAAGAAUAAAUGACGGUACCUAAAGAGGAAGCACCGGCUAACUACGUGCCAGCAGCCGCGGUAAUACGUAGGGGGCGAGCGUUAUCCGGAAUUAUUGGGCGUAAAGGGGGCGUAGGCGUCUUUUUAAGUCAGAUGUGAAAGGCUACGACUUAACCGUAGUUAGCAUUUGAAACUAAAAGGCUUGAGUGCAGGAGAGGAGAGUGGAAUUCCUAGUGUAGCGGUGAAAUGCGUAGAUAUUAGGAGGAACACCAGUGGCGAAGGCGACUCUCUGGACUGCAACUGACGCUGAGGCACGAAAGCGUGGGGAGCGAAC
rnacentral:rRNA from 1 species